AGGAAAAGUAAGAGUAUUCUGAAGGGCAGGGUCUGAUUCUUUCUAAAUUCAACCCUACUAGGGGCAGGGUUCUCUAGAGAGUGUUUGUUUGGCAUGAGCUAAGACCUGAGCUCAUGCCCAGUCUCUCUAUCUCUUUCCCUUUCCCCUCUCUCUAACACACACACACAAACACAAACACACACCCCACAGUCACGUGGUACAUCAUCAUGCCUGACCCUACUGGGCUCCAUGGCCCACUAAGAGGGGUUUUCUCCAGAAUGGAGUAAAACAUGACUUCUCUCUUCUUCUCCCUCAGUCUGAGUCAGAGCACAGUGGUUUUGUUUGUGACAGACUGAUGACUUCUGAAUAAGGAGAAAGCCACAGUGCAGAUGCCAACCAGGUCACAAGGGGUGUCUUAUCUCUGGACACACUGGCUUCUCAGAGUCAGUCACAUACAAGCCUUACACCAGCCUUGGGUGUGAGCCAGGGAGCAAUGACAGACAGGCACACAUCACAGACAUGACCCUGAGGUUUGGAGCAGGCAGGUUCGCUGGUCACGGCCACAUGUCCCCGCCCCUCUUCCUAGCAGGGCCUCUUCCCCCACACUCUGUGGGGGUGGAGUAACUGAGGCUCCUUCUCCUAGCACUCUGGAGAGAAGGCACCUUCCUCAUUUCCCAGGGACAGUCAGACAUCUCUAGCCAUCGCAGUCGGCUUUCCCCGCAGCUCCCUGGGGCUAUGCCACAGCUCUGUUCCAUUGAUGCGCGCACAGAAGCCUGAGUGGUCCGCUCCAGGGCAGACCCACAUCGGAGCUGUGACUCAAAGCCAGGAAACCCGGCCCUCUGUGCUGGCCCCGUUGCGGAGACCCGUGGCUGAUGAGACCGACCCCGGGUGUAAGCUCGACAAGGAAUGA
rnacentral:lncRNA from 1 species